UAUAAUAACACUGACCACCCAAAGGUAAGAGACUACUGCUCUAUAAUAACACUGACCACCCCAAGGUAAGAGACUACUAAUCUAAUAACACUGACCACCCCAAGGUAAGAGACUACUGCUCUAUAAUAACACUGACCACCCCAAGGUAAGAGACUACUGCUCUAUAAUAACACUGACCACCCCAAGGUAAGAGACUACUGAUCUAUAAUAACACUGACCACCCCAAGGUAAGAGACUACUGCUCUAUAAUAACACUGACCACCCCAAGGUAAGAGACUACUCUCUAUAAUAACACUGACCACCCCAAGGUAAGAGACUACUGCUCUAUAAUAACACUGACCACCCCAAGGUAAGAGACUACUCUCUAUAAUAACACUGACCACCCCAAGGUAAGAGACUACUGCUCUAUAAUAACACUGACCACCCCAAGGUAAGAGACUACUGAUCUAUAAUAACACUGACCACCCCAAGGUAAGAGACUACUAAUCUAAUAACACUGACCACCCCAAGGUAAGAGACUACUGCUCUAUAAUAACACUGACCACCCCAAGGUAAGAGACUACUGCUCUAUAAUAACACUGACCACCCCAAGGUAAGAGACUACUGAUCUAUAAUAACACUGACCACCCCAAGGUAAGAGACUACUGCUCUAUAAUAACACUGACCACCCCAAGGUAAGAGACUACUAAUCUAAUAACACUGACCACCCCAAGGUAAGAGACUACUGCUCUAUAAUAACACUGACCACCCCAAGGUAAGAGACUACUGAUCUAUAAUAACACUGACCACCCCAAGGUAAGAGACUACUGCUCUAUAAUAACACUGACCACCCCAAGGUAAGAGACUACUGUUCUAUAAUAACACUGACCACCCCAAGGUAAGAGACUACUGCUCUAUAAUAACACUGACCACCCCAAGGUAAGAGACUACUUUUCUAUAAUAACACUGACCACCCCAAGGUAAGAGACUACUGCUCUAUAAUAACACUGACCACCCCAAGGUAAGAGACUACUGAUCUAUAAUAACACUGACCACCCCAAGGUAAGAGACUACUGCUCUAUAAUAACACUGACCAGCCCAAGGUAAGAGACUACUGCUCUAUAAUAACACUGACCACCCCAAGGUAAGAGACUACUUUUCUAUAAUAACACUGACCACCCCAAGGUAAGAGACUACUGCUCUAUAAUAACACUGACCACCCCAAGGUAAGAGACUACUGAUCUAUAAUAACACUGACCACCCCAAGGUAAGAGACUACUGCUCUAUCAUAACACUGACCACCCCAAGGUAAGAGACUACUGAUCUAUAAUAACACUGACCACCCCAAGGUAAGAGACUACUGCUCUAUAAUAACACUGAACACCCCAAGGUAAGAGACUACUGCUCUAUCAUAACACUGACCACCCCAAGGUAAGAGACUACUGCUCUAUAAUAACACUGACCACCCCAAGGUAAGAGACUACUGCUCUAUAAUAACACUGACCAGCCCAAGGUAAGAGACUACUGCUCUAUAAUAACACUGACCACCCCAAGGUAAGAGACUACUGCUCUAUAAUAACACUGACCACCCCAAGGUAAGAGACUACUUUUCUAUAAUAACACUGACCACCCCAAGGUAAGAGACUACUGCUCUAUAAUAACACUGACCACCCCAAGGUAAGAGACUACUGAUCUAUAAUAACACUGACCACCCCAAGGUAAGAGACUCCUGCUCUAUAAUAACACUGAACACCCCAAGGUAAGAGACUACUGCUCUAUCAUAACACUGACCACCCCAAGGUAAGAGACUACUGAUCUAUAAUUACACUGACCACCCCAAGGUAAGAGACUCCUGCUCUAUAAUAACACUGACAACCCCAAGGUAAGAGACUACUGUUCUAAUAACACUGACCACUCCACGGUAAAAGACUAAUGCGCUAUAAUAACACUGGAAGGAGUAGGACUGAUUCUCUGUGUUGUUCAUACUCUAGGUUCUGAGAGAGGUCAGUCUAACUCUGUGUUUUUUUACUGCAGCUA